rnacentral:rRNA from 1 species
GACGAACGCUGGCGGCGUGCCUAAUACAUGCAAGUUGAGCGCUGAAGGUUGGUACUUGUACCAACUGGAUGAGCAGCGAUCGGGUGAGUAACGCGUGGGGAAUCUGCCUUUGAGCGGGGGACAACAUUUGGAAGCGAAUGCUAAUACCGCAUAAAAACUUUAAACACAAGUUUUAAGUUUGAAAGAUGCAAUUGCAUCACUCAAAGAUGAUCCCGCGUUGUAUUAGCUAGUUGGUGAGGUAAAGGCUCACCAAGGCGAUGAUACAUAGCCGACCUGAGAGGGUGAUCGGCCACAUUGGGACUGAGACACGGCCCAACCUCCUACGGGAGGCAGCAGUAGGGAAUCUUCGGCAAUGGACGAAAGUCUGACCGAGCAACGCCGCGUGAGUGAAGAAGGUUUUCGGAUCGUAAAACUCUGUUGGUAGAGAAGAACGUUGGUGAGAGUGGAAAGCUCAUCAAGUGACGGUAACUACCCAGAAAGGGACGGCUAACUACGUG